CAGCCGCCGCGGUAAUACCAGCCCCUCGAGUGGUGGGGAUGAUUAUUUGGCCUAAAGCGUCCGUAGCCGGCCGGGUAAGUCUCCCGUUAAAUCCAGCGUCUCAAGCGUUGGACUGCGGGAGAUACUGUCUGGCUAGAGAGUGGGAGAGGUGUACGGUAUUCUGGGGGUAGGGGCGAAAUCCUUUGAUCCCCGGAGGACCACCAGUGGCGAAGGCUGUACACUAGAACACGUCUGACGGUCAGGGACGAAAGCUGGGGUAGCGAACCGGAUUAGAUACCCGGGUAGUCCCAGCCGUAAACGAUGCACGCUAGGUGUUGGGGCGGCCACGAGCCGCCCCAGUGCCGCAGGGAAGCCGUUAAGCGUGCCGCCUGGGGAGUACGGCCGCAAGGCUGAAACUUAAAGGAAUUGGCGGGGGAGCACCACCAGGCGUGAAGCCUGCGGUUUAAUUGGAGUCAACGCCGGGAACCUUACCGGGAGCGACAGCAGAGUGAAGGCCAGGUUGAAGACCUUGCCAGACAAGCUGAGAGGAGGUGCAUGGCCGUCGCCAGUUCGUGCCGUGAGGUGUUCUCUUAAGUGAGAUAACGAACGAGACCCGUGCCGCAUGUUGCUACCAGAAUCUAAAGGAUUGCUGAGCACUCUUGCGGGACCGCAGCCGAUAAGGCUGAGGAAGGGGCGGGCAACGGCAGGUCAGUAUGCCCCGAAUCUCCCGGGCCACACGCGGGCUGCAAUGGUACGGACAGAGGGCUGCCACCCCGAGAGGGGGAGCCAAUCCCUAAACCGUACCUCAGUUGGGAUUGAGGGCUGCAACCCGCCCUCAUGAACAUGGAAUGCCUAGUAACUGCCAGUCAUCAUCUGGCGGUGAAUACGUCCCUGCCCCUUGCACAC
rnacentral:rRNA from 1 species